rnacentral:rRNA from 1 species
AACGUAGGACGCAAGCGUUAUCCGGAGUUACUGGGCGUAAAGCGCGAGCAGGCGGCUCGACCAGUCUGAUGUGAAAGCGCUCGGCUCAACCGGGCGGCAGCUUGGAAACUAUCGAGCUGGAGGGCAGUAGAGGCAGGCGGAAUUCCGGGUGAGUGGUGAAAUGCGUAGAGAUCCGGAGGAACACCAGAGGCGAAGGCGGCCUGCUGGGCUGCAC